UGGGGAAUAUUAGGCAAUGGGGGAAACCCUGACCUAGCAACGCCGCGUGAGGGAUGAAGGUUUUCGGAUUGUAAACCUCUUUGGCAGGGGACGAUAAUGACGGUACCCUGAGAACAAGCCACGGCUAACUACGUGCCAGCAGCCGCGGUAAUACGUAGGUGGCAAGCGUUGUCCGGAUUUACUGGGUGUAAAGGGCGAGUAGGCGGGGAUGCAAGUCAGAUGUGAAAUACCGAGGCUUAACUUCGGGGCUGCAUUUGAAACUGCAUUUCUUGAGUGAUGGAGAGGCAGGCGGAAUUCCCGGUGUAGCGGUGAAAUGCAUAGAGAUCGGGAGGAACACCAGUGGCGAAGGCGGCCUGCUGGACAUUAACUGACGCUGAGGCGCGAAAGUGUGGGGAGCAAACAGG
rnacentral:rRNA from 2 species